AACGAACGCUGGUGGCGUGUUUUAUACAUGCAAGUCGAGCGAGGACAGUAGCUUGCUACUGAGCCGAGCGGCGAACGGGUGAGUAACGCGUAAGCAAUCUGCCCCACAAUCGGGAACAACCGUGCCAACGCGCGGCUAAUGCCGGAUAUUGUGUCCUACUGCAUAGUAGGUUAACGAAAGAUUUAUCGUUGUGGGAUGAGCUUGCGUCCGAUUAGCUAGUUGGCGGGGUAAUAGCCCACCAAGGCGACGAUCGGUAGCCGGCCUGAGAGGGUGAUCGGCCACAUUGGGACUGAGAUACGGCCCAGACUCCUACGGGAGGCAGCAGUAGGGAAUAUUGCGCAAUGGGGGGGAACCCUGACGCAGCAACGCCACGUGUGGGAAGAAGGUUUUCGGAUUGUAAACCUCUGUUCUUGGUGACGAAAAAGAUGACGGUAGCCAAGGAGAAAGCCCCGGCUAAACUACGUG
rnacentral:rRNA from 1 species